rnacentral:rRNA from 1 species
AGAGCGCAGGGAGGAUGCCUUGGCAUUGGGAGCCGAUGAAGGACGUGGUAAGCUGCGAAAAGCUGUGGGGAAUUGCAAGCAAGUAUUGAUCCGCAGAUGUCCGAAUGGAGCAAUCCGUUAAGAGUAAUAUCUUAACAUCAUAUACUGAAUCAAUAGGUAUAUGAGGGGAACCGCCUGAACUGAAACAUCUAAGUAGGGCGAGGAAAAGAAAUCAACCGAGAUUCCGAAAGUAGUGGCGAGCGAAAUCGGAAGAGGCUAAACCGAACUCAGAAAUGAGAUCGGGGUUUAGGACUGCAUUUAGUAUUGAAAUGAGCGAGCAGAAUGCUUUGGGAAAAGCAGCCGAAGAACGUGAGAGCCGUGUAAGCGAAGUGAGUUUCAGCGAGCAGUAUCCAAAGUACCGCGGGGCACGUGAAAUCCCGUGGGAAGAUGGGGGGACCACCCUCCAAGCCUAAAUACUACCCAAUGACCGAUAGCGAAUAGUACUGUGAAGGAAAGGUGAAAAGCACCCCGGGAGGGGAGUGAAAAAGAACCUGAAACCCUGUGCUUACAAGCACUGAGAGCUCGUCAAAGAGUGAUCAGGUACCUAUUGUAGAAUGGUCCGGCGAGUUAUGAUAUGCAGCAAGGUUAAGUACUUAAGGUACGGAGCCGCAGCGAGAGCGAGUCUGAAUAGGGCGUAAAGUUGUAUGUCAUAGACCCGAAACCGAGUGACCUAGCCAUGUCCAGGCUGAAGUGGAGGUAAAACUCCAUGGAGGGCCGAACCGACCUCCGUUGAAAAGGCGGCGGAUGAGGUGUGGCUAGCGGAGAAAUUCCAAUCGAACUCGGAUAUAGCUGGUUCUCUCCGAAAUAGCUUUAGGGCUAGCGUUGCAACAGAUUACCGGAGGUAAAGCACUGAAUAGGCUAGGGGGCGAGAGCUUACUGAACCUUAUCAAACUAAGAAUGCCGGAUAAUUGAUUUGCAGCAGUCAGACAGUGUGAGAUAAGUUUCAUUGUCAAAAGGGAAACAGCCCAGACCCACAGCUAAGGUCCCUAAUGCAUGCUAAGUGGAAAACGAUGUGGAAUUGCGAAAACAACCAGGAUGUUGGCUUAGAAGCAGCCACUCAUUAAAAGAGUGCGUAAUAGCUCACUGGUCGAGUGACUCUGCGCGGAAAAUAUAACGGGGCUAAGCAUGAAACCGAAGCUUGGGCUUGUCGUAAGACAGGGGUAGGGGAGCGUCGAGUAUGGGGUGAAGUCAGAGCGGAAGCACUGGUGGACUGUACUGGAGUGAGAAUGCCGGAAUGAGUAGCGAGAAUUAUGUGGGAAUCAUAAUGGCCGAAAAUCUAAGGUUUCUUGGGGAAGGUUCGUCCGCCCAAGGUAAGUCGGGAGCUAAGGCGAGGCCGUAAGGAGUAGUCGAUGCACAUUAGGUUAAUAAUCCUAAACCUGCUUAAAGAUGUCUGAGUUGUAUAUUGACGAAUUUGAGGGUGCCAGUCGGGUGAUGAACGUCCCGGUCUAAGGGGUCGAGAGGCUCUGGGGACGCAGAGGCUACGGCUGAUGCGGAUUGGCAGUAUCAAGUUCCGGGAAAAUUUAUACAAUUAAUUGAUAGGCAGCCCGUACCGCAAACCGACACAGGUAUCCGGGAAGAGUAUUCUAAGGCGCGUGAGUUAAAUCUCCCCAAGGAACUCGGCAAAAUGGCCCCGUAUCUUCGGUAGAAGGGGUGCCAACGCGAGUUGGUCUCAGCAAAGAGGCCCAACCGACUGUUUAUCAAAAACACAGCUCUCUGCAAAGUCGCAAGACGACGUAUAGGGAGUGACACGUGACCAAUGCGGAAAGGUGAAAUCUGGUUGUUAACGCUUCUGGACUAAGCCCCCGUGAAUGUCGGCCGUAACUAUAACGGUCCUAAGGUAGCGAAAUUCCUUGUCGGGUAAGUUCCGACCUGCACGAAUCGUGUAACGAGUUGGGUGCUGUCUCAGGGAGAAGCUCAGUGAAAUUGUAGUCGCGGUUAAGAUGCCGCGUACCCGCAGAAGGACGGAAAGACCCUAUGAACCUUUACUAUAAUUUGAUAUUGUCGUUUGACUUUUAAUACGUAGAAUAGCUGGGAGGCUGAGAUAACCUGCUUCAGGGUAGGUUGAGCCGCAAUGUGAAAUACCAGUUUUUAACUGUUAGGCGUCUAACCUCUGGUCCAUUAGCUGGAAGGGGGACAGUGUUAGAGGGUUAGUUUGACUGGGGCGGUCUCCUCCUAAAAAGUAACGGAGGACUGCGAAGGUUCCCUCAGACCGGUUGGUAAUCGGUCGGCGAGGAUAUGGCUAGAAGGGAGCUUAACUGUGAGACCUACAAGUCGAGCAGAUGGGAAACCAGGCCCAAGUGAUCCGGCGAUAGUUCGUGGGAACGUCGUCGCUUAUGGGAUAAAAGGUACUCUAGGGAUAACAGGCUGAUUUCACCCAAGCGUUCAUAGCGACGGUGAAGUUUGGCACCUCGAUGUCGGCUCAUCACAUCCUGGGGCUGUAGAAGGUCCCAAGGGUUUGGCUGUUCGCCAAUUAAAGUGGUACGCGAGCUGGGUUCAAAACGUCGUGAGACAGUUUGGUCCUCUAUCCUCUGUGGGCGUUGGAAAUUUGAGGGGUUCAUUCCUUAGUACGAGAGGACCGGGAAUGACGUACCGCUGGUGUUCCGGUUGUCGUGUCAACGGCAGCGCCGGGUAGCUAAGUACGGAAGAGAUAAGCGCUGAAAGCAUCUAAGCGCCAAGCUCCUCCCAAGAUUAGAUUUCCUUGA